CCUACGGGAGGCAGCAGUGAGGAAUAUUGGUCAAUGGACGAGAGUCUGAAGCAGCGAAGUAGCGUGAGGGAUGACUGCCCUAUGGGUUGUAAGCUUCUUUUAUAGGGGAAUAAAACGAGGCACGUGUGCCUUUUUGCAUGUACUUUAUGAAUAAGGAUCGGCUAACUCCGUGCCAGCAGCCGCGGUAAUACGGAGGAUCCGAGCGUUAUCCGGAUUUAUUGGGUUUAAAGGGAGCGUAGAUGGGUUGUUAAGUCAGUUGUGAAAGUUUGCGGCUCAACCGUAAAAUUGCAAUUGAUACUGGCAGUCUUGAGUACAGUUGAGGUAAGCGGAAUUCGUGGUGUAGCGGUGAAAUGCUUAGAUAUCACGAAGAACCCCGAUUGCGAAGGCAGCUUACUAAACUGUGACUGACAUUGAUGCUCGAAAGUGUGGGUAUCAAACAGGAUUAGAUACCCGAGUAGUC
rnacentral:rRNA from 1 species